GGUAAGGAUAAUGUGGUUUAACAAAGAAUGUAGGCUAUCAAGGCUCCAUGGGGUUAACUUAAACAUAUAACGAUAUGGGAUACAUGGCAGUUUGGCUUUGGUGGUGGUAACUACACAACUUCAUCUUGAAUAUGUUUUAUGCAAAUCAAUAGCAUGCUUUGAAUGAAAUAGGCAUGAGUUCUAGCAUUUGGAACUAAAUGAUGAAACGCCUUCUAAGUAAUAGCCAAGCAAAGAAUAAUGAGAUCAUGCAACGACUUUAGAAAACAAGAAUGCACGGAUUUUAACUCUCCAAAUAAACGUUUAAGCUCAAGUCUCACAAGGUUGUAGCGUUAGUUUGAGUUCUUUCCUUCAAGCAUGUUACAAAAACUAAUUUUUUUUCUUUUAUGAUUACAUGUGAUUUCAUAAGUUAUAACCACAACCACGCAUAAAUAAAGAGUAAAUCAAACUUUCAUCCAUGUUUAUAACUCUCUUUAACAGUCAUGCAAUUACAAACCGAAUCCUCAUCAUUGUGUUGGAAGGUACCCUAAGACACAAAUAAGCGCACAAAAACAACUCUUUUUUUGGAUUUUCAAAAACAAUUUUUCAAAUUUUUAUGAAUUUUUGGAUUUUUAUGUCAAAACACACUGAAACACUCCAAAACAGCUUAAAAAAAUACUUAAAACAACAAAGAACAACACUAGAAGUAAUGGGUGAGAAAUUUCUACGAAUUUCAUGCAAAACAAUGGUUACCCCCC
rnacentral:lncRNA from 1 species